GGGUCCGUGGUCUAGUUGGUUAUGACGUCGCCCUUACAACCGCAUCGUGUGCAAAGCAUAUCUGCUUGAAUCACACGCGGAGCGAGUGAGUAAGGCGAAGAUCCCCAGUUCGAAUCUGGGCGGACCCA
rnacentral:tRNA from 1 species